UUGAUAUGUGUAUGUAUAAAUUAGUCUACACACACACACACAUAUAUAUAUAUAUAUAUGCUCCCCUUUGCGAGAUAUCGUUUCAGUCGUCAUAUAAUCAGAUUGACGAUUCAAUUGUUGCUCAGGUUAA